rnacentral:rRNA from 1 species
GGUGCUCCGGGAUUGGGUUUGGGCUUCUUUUGCGCAGUCUAGGUGGGAGGCGUUGAAAAUUUCUUUCCGGAGAGAUUGGAGUAUCGUGAGAGACCACUCUGGAGAAGCUAGAAUCCUAAUGGUGCCCCUUUAUCGGAGAUCGACAUUCUCAGGUGGGCAGUUUCACUGGGGCGGUCGCCUCCUAAAGGUAACGGAGGCGUGCAAAGGUUCCCUUCAGGCUGGACGGAAAUCAGCCGAAAAGUGCAAAGGGAAAAGGGAGCUUGAUUGCCAAAACCUACAAUUCAGCAGGGGACGAAAGUCGGCCUUAAUGAUUCCAACGUUUCGAGUGGAAGGGCCCUCCCCUCACGGAUAAAAGUUUCCUCUGGGAUAACAGGCUGAAAA